GAGGGUAAAGCUCAGUGGCAGAGCAGAUGCUUAGCAUGCAUGAGGUCCCAGGUUCCAUCCCCGGUACCGCCA
rnacentral:tRNA from 1 species